UACGAAGGGGGCGAGCGUUGUUCGGAGUUACUGGGCGUAAAGGGCGCGUAGGCGGCGCUCCAAGUUAGGCGUGAAAGCCCCGGGCUCAACCUGGGAAUUGCGCUUAAGACUGGAGUGCUCGAGUGCGGGAGAGGUGAGUGGAAUUCCCAGUGUAGAGGUGAAAUUCGUAGAUAUUGGGAAGAACACCAGUGGCGAAGGCGGCUCACUGGCCCGCAACUGACGCUGAGGCGCGAAAGCGUGGGGAGCAAACAGG
rnacentral:rRNA from 1 species